CGGCCCCCUGCGGAGCCGUCACUGGCACUUCAGACCGGGGCUGCUAAGCCACGCCCAGAUCUGGAUCAUCUCCUGCGGCGUCCGCGGGUGAACGAGCAUCAGGCUCUUGUAGGCGCAGGGGUUGGACCUGUACUUCUCCUCUAUGUUGAAGGUCCUGAAGCCCUUGUGCUUCUCGGGGGCCAGCCCCAGCUUCCUGAGACACAUCCCCGUGUAGACGUCGUCUAUCGGGUAGAGCGCCACGUGGCGCGACACGUUGUGAAGGCGAGCGGCGAUGUCCCCAGAGUAAAGGUAGCCGCCCCCGCCCGCGUACGGAGGGUACGGCCCGACGUACAUGCUCUCCGGAAUGAAGUACUUCACCUUCUUGUCCCGGUGCGGCCCAGCGUUGGUGAUGGCGUCGCCCACAAACAGGUCCCUGGCUUUGGGCUCCGAGAGGCCCCCGAGGAAGUCCAGGAUGCGGAAGGUGUUGACGAAGACGUCGUCGUCGCCCUUGAAGACGAAGCGCGCUCCGGGGCAGCGGUUCUGGAUCCACUCCAGGAACAGGACCUCCUUGACGGUCAGGUUGAAGAAGGAGUCCCGGUAAUCCCACUGGAUGAUGUCUUUGUGGUGGAGGCCCUCGUACUGCAGCAUCCCGGACAGAUCCGGGUGGUGGUCGCCGGCCAUGGUGUUGCCGAGGAGGAAGACGGUGACCACCGUCUUAUUGGCUACGACCCCGGCCCGUCCCCAGGACUGGCGGAUGGCCUGGCGGCGCUCGAAAUGCGGCGCCAGGGACUUGACGGCCAGGAGGAGGAACGGCGGGUCCUUGCAGACCUCGGGCUGGUCCACCAUGAUCGGGUACGACCGGCAGUGCAUGAAGCUCAGGAAGUCCUUGAAGCGGACCGGCAGGGAGUUGUAGUCCUUCACCUGAGUGGUCACCUUGUCGUUAGGCCGGCAGGGGGAGGAGGUCACACCGGUCUCGUUGAGCCAAUCGGGCACGUCCGCGGCGCUGUAGUUAGCCGCCAGGACGGGAUUGUUGUGGAAGUCCAGAAUCUGCUGCUGGCGGUUGCAGUAGGCCGGACUGGGAACCAGCUCGGACCAGAAGGGUUUGGGGGGGAUGUGGACCUUGUGACGGCCGUUCUUGUCCUGGCUGCUGUGGCGGGAGAUGAUGAUGAAGAUGAAGAAGUUGACCAUCAUGAUCACCGUCACCAGCUUCAGUCUCCGCCGCGCCAUGACAGGGUGCUGCAGCCGUCACCACCUGAGCGCGCGCACACACACACACACACACACACACACACACACACACACACACACACGGCUCAAUACACAAUGAUUAUAUUAAGAGAAAUACCACUUCCUGUAAAGUCAGAACACAUCACAGGCAGUGUGUUGAGUCACUGA
ensembl:lncRNA